rnacentral:misc_RNA from 1 species
UCCGGUUUGUCACCGGCAGUCUCGCAUGAGUCCCCGCCAACCCCUUAAGGGUCGCGCUGGCAACAGUCGGCAAGGGUUGCGCUCGUUGCGGGACUUAACCCAACAUCUCUCGACACGAGCUGACGACAGCCAUGCAGCACCUGUGCUGGAGCCCCGAAGGGGGCCCUAGGUUUCCCUAGGGUUUCUCCAGCAUGUCAAGCCUAGGUAAGGUUCUUCGCGUUGCUUCGAAUUAAACCACAUGCUCCACCGCUUGUGCGGGCCCCCGUCAAUUCCUUUGAGUUUCAACCUUGCGGUCGUACUCCCCAGGCGGGGCACUUAACGCGUAAGCUGCGACACGGAAGGGGCCGAUCCCCCCCGCAUCCAGUGCCCAUCGUUUACCGCGUGGACUAC